CUCGCUCUCUCAGUCGCUCGAUCUCGCUCUCGCUCUCUCAAUCGCUCGAUCUCGCUCUCGCUCUCUCAAUCGCUUGAUCUCGCUCUCUCAGUCGCUCGAUCUCGCUCUCGCUCUCUCAAUGGCUCGAUCUCGCUCUCUCAGUCGCUCAAUCUCGCUCUCGCUCUCUCAAUCGCUUGAUCUCGCUCUCUCAGUCACUCCCGCUCCAGGAAGAAGCUGGGGCUUGGGCAUAUCAAUGGUGGCUAGCGGAGUAGCUGGUGCCUGUUUGGUUCUUGGGAGUUUCUUCACUUUAUGAGGUGCAAAUCUGAUUUGAAUAUGAAACAACUCAUGGAAUUGUAUGUGUAUAUGUAAUGGAAAUUUAUUUGUUUUUAUUUGGAUUUUCUUUUGAACUUUGCAAAUAUGCAAAUUGUGAUUGAGAUUACUCUCACAAUUUGCUAUGGACUGUAAUAAUAAUUAAUUUAUGUAUUUGGAGAUGUGUGGUGGGUGAUUAUUUGCUA